rnacentral:lncRNA from 1 species
GAAAGGCUAAAGAAUCAGGACUACUGAAGCUAAAGAGGAAAACUCAAAUAACGAAACAUUAUUGUUUUCAAAUAUGUGACAGGUUUUUGGCUAGAAGAUAUCACUCAUACAUUUCCUGAACACAUGGAGGCCAGGGCAGACAAAAGUAAAGAUGGAAACCAGACCAGCAAGAGGUCACACAUCAUUACUGGCAGCAGAUGGAUCCCAUCUGUACCACAGAGGGCAAAGAUUUCAGUCAGUGAGUUACAGACACCACGGAUGAAAACAGGAGCCCAUCAGGGAAUCACGUAAUGAUCACAGCUAAAGGAAGCCCUGUCCUGGGAGUACUUUGCUGAUGCCUCAGCUUCUUGCUUCUAAGCUCCUGGCCCCAUUUGGUCUGAGGCAAAGAACAUUCAGAUUGGUGCCAUUUAUUUGCACCAACGUGCGGAAGAGGCGGCAGAAGUGUUGGGAGAUCUCUGAAGAACCGUGAGUUGGGGAGAGACUAAGACCAUGCUUUCUACUCUGGAAACUUGGUUUCCAACCAGUAAAGUAAGGUCUCCCAACAAAUGGAAUAAUGUGCCGUGUGGCUAUGAUGGGUGCAGAUAAUCAAUGCUCAGCACAUUUCCCCAGGGAAAGGUUUCCAGGAUGCCUUUUAAGGAAAGUAAUGAGCUGUUUGUUCCCUGGUUGUAGGAGAAGAGGGUGUUUGUUGAUCACACAUCUUUUUAAUUAGUUAUAGACACAGAUGGGGUUUUUUUCAUGUUUUUCUGACAUAUACUUACUUAUCUAAUGAAAGGUGCCCAGCAUAAAAAUGCAGGAGACAGACUUCCUUCGCCACCACAGGCGUCUUCCCUGCUUCUGUAUGAUUGGUUUAAAGUGAACCGCCCUGAAAGAGACCAUCUCCAAAGCCCUGAAGGUCCUCCAUAGAUCAUUUCAGCCUAAGGGGCCUUUUAUUUUCAUGCAGAUACAACACCAAGUGAGGUGCUCUAGGUGGGCCAAACACCACAGGUGUCAAGGAAGCUGUGUGUUAGGUUGUGUUCAUCCCGUGCAUAUUAGGGCUUUGUGUAACUUCAUGCUUCUCUCCUUCAGCAGCAAAGUAACUAUGCUUAGAAAAUCUGUUUGACCUUCUCUGAGCCCCAGCUUGUUUAUCUAUAAAAGGACGUCUAGACUGAAUGUUCCCAAGUUCCUCCCUGCUCUAAGCUCGCAAGCUGAAGUUUGUACACACAAGCAGGACCUCUGUGAAGGAGCAAAAGUCUGCUCCAUGCCCACCUGAUAACCUUCCUCGGUGCUCUUGUCUUCAGAGUUUGUUUCGAUCUCCUCUCUUGUCUGACAGGAACAGUGGGAUUUUUGCUGCAAGCUCCAGCUCAAAGGCCAUCUCCUCUCGGAGGCCUUU